CCUACGGGAGGCAGCAGUGAGGAAUUUUGCGCAAUGGGGGAAACCCUGACGCAGCAACGCCGCGUGAGUGAUGAAGGCCUUCGGGUCGUAAAGCUCUGUCAAGUGGGAAGAACCUGCUCUGUGAUAACACCACGGGGCACCGACGGUACCACUGAAGGAAGCACCGGCUAACUCCGUGCCAGCAGCCGCGGUAAUACGGGGGGUGCUAGCGUUAUUCGGAAUCAUUGGGCGUAAAGGGCGCGUAGGCGGUCUUUUAAGUCAGAUGUGAAAGCCCUCGGCUUAACCGAGGAAGUGCAUUUGAUACUAAGAGACUUGAGUAUGGGAGAGGGAAGCGGAAUUCCUGGUGUAGCGGUGAAAUGCGUAGAUAUCAGGAGGAACACCGGUGGCGAAGGCGGCUUCCUGGACCAAUACUGACGCUGAGGCGCGAAGGCGUGGGGAGCAAACAGGAUUAGAUACCCUGGUAGUCCACGCAGUAAACGGUGAACACUAGGUGUAGCGGGUAUUGACCCCUGCUGUGCCGAAGCUAACGCAUUAAGUGUUCCGCCUGGGAAGUACGGCCGCAAGGUUAAAACUUAAAGGAAUUGACGG
rnacentral:rRNA from 1 species